rnacentral:rRNA from 1 species
UACGUAGGGGGCUAGCGUUGUCCGGAAUCAUUGGGCGUAAAGCGCGUGUAGGCGGUCCGGUAAGUCCGCUGUGAAAGUCGGGGGCUCAACCCUCGGAUGCCGGUGGAUACUGUCGGGCUUGAGUACGGAAGAGGCGAGUGGAAUUCCUGGUGUAGCGGUGAAAUGCGCAGAUAUCAGGAGGAACACCAAUGGCGAAGGCAGCUCGCUGGGACGGUACUGACGCUGAGGCGCGAAAGCGUGGGGAGCAAACAGG